GACUUUUGGCAACGGAUAUUUCGACUCUCGCAUCGAUAAAGAAUAUAGCAAAAUAUGAUACUUAGUGUGAAUUGCAGAAUCCCGUGAACCAUCGAGUCUUUGAAUGCAAGUUGCACCCAAAGCCAUUAGGCUAAGGGCACGUCGCCUGGUUGUCA